CUCCGCCUGGGGAGUACGGCCGCAAGGUUAAAACUCCAAGAAAUUGACGCGGGCCCGCACAACCGGUGGAGCAUGUGGUUAAAUUCGAAAGCAACGCGCAGAACCUUACCUACCCUUGACAUGCCCGGGUUUGGUUGCCAGAGAUGGCUUCCCUGAUUCGUUCGCCGGUGCACAGGUGCUGCAUGGCUGUCGUCAGCUCGUGUCGUGAGAUGUUGGGUUAAGUCCCGCAACGAGCGCAACCCUCAUCCUUAGUUGCCACCAGGUUUGGCUGGGCACUCUAAGGAAACUGCCGGUGGCAAGCCGGAGGAAGGUGGGGAUGACGUCAAGUCCUCAUGGCCCUUACGGGUAGGGCUACACACGUGCUACAAUGGCAGUGACAAUGGGAUAAUCCCAAAAAACUGUCUCAGUUCGGAUUGUCGUCUGCAACUCGACGGCAUGAAGUUGGAAUCGCUAGUAAUCGUGGAUCAGCAUGCCACGGUGAAUACGUUCCCGGGCCUUGUACA
rnacentral:rRNA from 1 species